rnacentral:rRNA from 1 species
GGGUCAGUAGGUUGGUCGUGCCACCGGUACGUACUGGUCUCACUGACUCCUCCUUCCUGAAGAACCGUAAUGCCAUUAAUUUGGUGUUGCGGGGAAACAGGACUGUUACCUUGAAAAAAUUAGAGUGUUUAAAGCAAGCUAACGCUUGAAUACAUUAGCAUGGAAUAAUGAAAUAGGACGAUCGAUCCUAUUUUGUUGGUUUCUAGGAUUGACGUA